rnacentral:rRNA from 1 species
AUUGAACGCUGGCGGCAGGCCUAACACAUGCAAGUCGAGCGGAUGAAGGGAGCUUGCUCCUGGAUUCAGCGGCGGACGGGUGAGUAAUGCCUAGGAAUCUGCCUGGUAGUGGGGGAUAACGUCCGGAAACGGGCGCUAAUACCGCAUACGUCCUGAGGGAGAAAGUGGGGGAUCUUCGGACCUCACGCCAUCAGAUGAGCCUAGGUCGGAUUAGCUAGUUGGUGGGGUAAAGGCCUACCAAGGCGACGAUCCGUAACUGGUCUGAGAGGAUGAUCAGUCACACUGGAACUGAGACACGGUCCAGACUCCUACGGGAGGCAGCAGUGGGGAAUAUUGGACAAUGGGCGAAAGCCUGAUCCAGCCAUGCCGCGUGUGUGAAGAAGGUCUUCGGAUCGUAAAGCACUUUAAGUUGGGAGGAAGGGCAGUAAGUUAAUACCUUGCUGUUUUGACGUUACCAACAGAAUAAGCACCGGCUAACUUCGUG